AAUAAUUUAUUUGAUGGUUCCUUACUACACGGAUAACUGUAGUAAUUCUAGAGCUAAUACGUGCGUAAAAUCCCGACUCUCACGGGGAGGGAUGUAUUUAUUAGAUAAAAAACCAAUGCGGACUCUGUCCGGUUUUGUGGUGAAUCAUAGUAACUUUUCGAAUCGCAUGACUUCACGUCGGCGAUGGUUCAUUCAAAUUUCUGCCCUAUCAGCCUUCGACGGUAGUGUAGUGGACUACCGUGGCAUUUACGGGUGACGGAGAAUUAGGGUUCGCUUCAGGGGAGGGAGCCUGAGAAACGGCUACCACA
rnacentral:rRNA from 1 species